GUACAGGGGGUUUUGGGCCCUCUGGCGCAGGUUCGUUUCCUGUCUUUCUAAGA
rnacentral:tRNA from 1 species